UUCCUUACACCACAUAUAUAGCAACUAACUAGUCAGUAUCUGUAUGGCACAAGUAUCAACACGGUACAAAAAGCCAUUAACUACCUUGUUCUUGUGUCCUGCAGUCUUAAUUAACAGGCAGAGCAGCAGCAACGUGAUAUGAGGGUAAGGAGGAAAGGCAGAGUUUGCAAGGAGCUAUAAAAGGGAUAAGUGCAGUGUGGUGCGUGGGAAGGAAAGGGGGCUUGGCAACACUACAUGGGGAGGAGGCGGCGGCGGAGAGAGAGAGAGAGAAUUAUGUCUUUCUAUUCCUCGUCAGAUUCGUGAGAAGGGAGAGGGAUGGAAGGAACUAUAUGGGAGGGGGAGGAUGGUUGAAGCGGGUGUAGUGGUUAGGGAUAAGUGCAGUGCUGGUGCGUGGGAAGGAAAGGGGGCUUGGCAACACUACAAGGGAAAGUGGAGGGAAGGAGGAAACGGAGCUGGAGAGGAGGCGGCGGCGAAGUGGAGAGAGAGAGAGAGAGAGAGAGAGAGAGAGAGAGAGAGUUACGAAUCUGAAGAGGAAUAGAGGGAGAAAUUGACGUGAGAAGGGAGAGGAAUGGAAGGUGGAGGAAGAAGGGGAGGAUGGUUGAA